AAUAGGACUUGGUGUCAGGUAUUGCCUUGAUUUGCGGAGUUGGUUUUGCAAUCUGGAUGUUCCUUCCUGUGAAGUGUGCAAUGAAGUUGUACUGAAGGGAGAAUUGUGCCAAACCAAAGGUUGCCUCUCUUGAAUUCAUCACUACUGCGUGAAGAACAAAAUAGGGGCGAAGUAGUCUGUCCAAGUUGUG